rnacentral:rRNA from 1 species
UACGAAGGGGGCUAGCGUUGCUCGGAAUCACUGGGCGUAAAGGGCGCGUAGGCGGGUUCGCAAGUCUGUGGUGAAAGCCUCCAGCUUAACUGGAGAAGUGCCGUGGAUACUGCGAAUCUUGAGGAGGGUAGGGGCGUCUGGAACGGUCGGUGGAGCGGUGAAAUGCGUUGAUAUCGACCGGAACUCCGGUGGCGAAGGCGAGGCGCUGGACCCUUUCUGACGCUGAGGCGCGAAAGCCAGGGGAGCAAACGGGG